UACGUAGGCAGCAAGCGUUGUCCGGAAUUAUUGGGCGUAAAGAGCUCGUAGGCGGUCUGUCGCGUCGGCUGUGAAAACCCGGGGCUCAACCUCGAACUUGCGGUGGGUACGGGCAGACUAGAGUGUGGUAGGGGGAGACUGGAAUUCCUGGUGUAGCGGUGAAAAUGCGUAGAGAUCGGUAGGAACACCAGUGGCGAAGGCGGUCUCCUGGAGCAUUUCUUGACGCUGAGACGCGAAAAGCUGGGGGGGAGCGAACGGGG
rnacentral:rRNA from 1 species